AUGACUCUCAUCACCAUCCUCAUCUGGACGCUGGUCUGCUGCUGUUUUACAGGAUGCAGCGGUCAGGUGACUGUGACUCAGCCUCCAGUACUCACAUUUACUCCAGGAUCCACUGUCACUCUGUCCUGUAAGACCAGCCAAGCUGUUGGAACUUGUAGUGGUCAACAGUGUAUGGCCUGGUAUCAACAGAAAUCUGGACAGACUACAAAGCUCUUAAUAAGACAAGCGAGCACACGUCACUCAGGAAUACCAGCCCGGUUUAGUGGCAGUGGAAGCGGCUCUGACUUCAUUUUGACCAUCAGUGGAGUUCAGACUGAAGAUGCAGCAGUUUACUACUGUCAGAGUGUCCAUAAUGGUCCUGUGUUCACACAGUGA